UAUUGCGUCCAAAGAUUUUUAACCAAAAUUUUCUACCCUCUUUGCUGCUUCAACUUCGUCGAUUGGUGGCUGUGAAAACUAAUUCCAAUUUGUUUAGCCUCAAUUUUUCUGGUAAAUCCCUUGAUUGCAAUCCAAAUUUCUUCAAUUGACAUAAUUCGAUUUUGGGUCUACAAACUCCGUUUGAAUCUACUACAAAUUUUGAGUUCUUCUUCAAGCCGUCUUGAAGGUAUGCCCAUGAAUCCUAUUUAUUUGUAAAUUGUGUAGUAAAUAUAAGUAAAUAAUCUUGAAUUUUGAGUUAUACUUUUUCAAUUUCUCGCAAUGGAAAAGCAAAUAAGUAUGAAGUUGUUUUGUGUAUAAAUUUAUUAGUCAACUGUAUCCAUUUUUGAUCUGUUCCAUUAUUUUAAUCAUAUAUAAACUUGUUGUGUGCCAAAAUUUCAUGUUUAUUAGCAGUACUGAUGGUUAGUACUUGGUAGAAAUUGUGGUAUUGCUAAUUCAUCUGUGAAUCUUGUGAAAUUGUUUUGGCACCAAGAUUAGAUUUGUUGUUCACUAGGCUGCACGUUGAAAUUGGGUUGCAAAUAUUUGCAAUAGGUAUGUUUGAGUUCACAUCCUGGAAUAAAUUUGACAAAUAUUUAACUCUGGUGGUUUUUUUUGUUUUCCCCCCACAAUUAACAGCUUCCCUAAAGGUU
rnacentral:lncRNA from 1 species